GUCCCUCGAUCGUUCCCUUUGUAACUAUUCAACCAUUUUUAUUCUUUUUCUCCUUCUGGUCUUAAUUUUACCAUUGAGGAUAAAUACCGAGAACUGCAAAUGCACAAAAAAAAAGAGAAGCUGGGCUACAUAACAACAAAAUAUGAGCAGCCUUUUUGCUGAAGUGCUAUUUAAGAACCUCAGUCCAAAAUCUUGGAGACAAAGAGCCACCUGGAGAAGGUGUGGUCACCUGUGCUUUUGGUGGGGGCCUUAUAAAGGAUGAUGAGCUACGUCAUAAUGCAGACUUCACAGAACGUUCCAGCCUGCUGCUGAUUCAGACAGGCCAUAUCCUGUGCCCCUGCUGACCACUGAACGGCCUCACAGCUGGUCCAAAGGCAUUUUCCUAUGGUGGGUUAUGACAUUUCACAUGGAUUUCUCUUCCUGUGUUGCACACGUGCUCUGGAAGGAAGACUCAGCCAUGCAGACACAGCGCAGCAGCCUGCAGUCAAUGUGCUCACCCAUGCCCAGCAGCCAGGGAAAAUCCAAGUCGCAGAGGAGAGCUAAGAAGGCGAAGUCCUUGAGCUGCUCUUGGCUCCAAAAGGGGGUCAAUAAUCAUCCACGUGUGCACAGCAUUGCAGGAGGAGGCUGUGCAUUACUAAUUAUCUCUACCUCUUCUAAGCUGGAUAAAAGCAUGUUUACAAUGCCACUUACAGGGGGUUGGUGAAGACACAGAUGUAUGGUGCUGCUCCCAAGUGUACUGUGGCUGAUUAUUUAUCAAUAAAUGUCUUCCUCACCGUGAUGAGGCUCACUAUAGAAGGAAUCAUAGAAUAGCCUGGGUUGAAAAGGACCACAGUGCUCAUCCAGUUCCAACCCCCUGCUAUGUGCAGGGUCGCCAACCAGCAGCCCAGGGACCAGACUGAUCAUCAAUCCUCAUGCUGGAAUAUUUGAAAUAAACAUUUAAUGUUAAAAU
rnacentral:lncRNA from 7 species